rnacentral:misc_RNA from 1 species
AACGCACCUUGCGCUCCUUGGUAUUCCGAGGAGCAUGCCUGUUUGAGUGUCAUUAAAUUCUCAAACCUUUAUUUGGUUUUACUAGAUAAAGGCUUUGGAUGUGGAGGCUGCUGGAUUCUAACGAAGUCAGCUCUUCUUAAAUGCAUUAGUGGUUAUUGAUCCCAUUUCUUGGUGUGAUAAUAUCUACGCCUUGAGAGAACGAUCUAAUGUAACUGCUUUCUAACCGUCUGCAAAGACAAUUUGAACCAUUUGACCUCAAAUCAGGUAGGACUACCCGCUGAACUUAA